AAGCUACUCCCUCCGUUCGGAAUUACUUGUCUCGGAAAUGGAUGUAUCUAGAACUAAAAUACAUCUAGAUACAUCCAUUUCUAUGACAAGUAAUUCCGAACGGAGGGAGUAUUAG
rnacentral:pre_miRNA from 1 species